UACGGAGGGAGCUAGCGUUGUUCGGAAUUACUGGGCGUAAAGCGCGCGUAGGCGGCUUUGUAAGUUAGAGGUGAAAGCCCGGGGCUCAACUCCGGAACUGCCUUUAAGACUGCAUCGCUUGAAUCCGGGAGAGGUGAGUGGAAUUCCGAGUGUAGAGGUGGAAUGCGCAGAUAUCAGGAGGAACACCAAUAGCGAAGGCAGCUCGCUGGGACGUUACUGACACUGAGGCGCGAAAGCGUGGGGAGCAAACAGG
rnacentral:rRNA from 1 species